CCUACGGGUGGCAGCAGUGAGGAAUAUUGGUCAAUGGACGCAAGUCUGAACCAGCCAUGCCGCGUGCAGGAAGACGGCCCUAUGAGUUGUAAACUGCUUUUGUACGAGGGUAAACGCAGAUACGCGUAUCUGUCUGAAAGUACCGUACGAAUAAGGUUCGGCUAACUUCGUUCCAGCAGCCGCGGUAAUACGGAGGAUUCAAGCGUUACCCGGAUUUAUUGGGUUUAACGGGUGCGUAGGCGGUCGGGUAAGUUAGAGGGGAAAUCCCGAGGCUCAACUUCGGAAUUGCCUCUGGUACUGUUCGGCUAGAGAGUAGUAGCGGUAGGCGGAAUGUAUGGUGUAGCGGUGAAAUGCGUAGAGAUCAUACAGAACACCGAUUGCGAAGGCAGCUUACCAAGCUACUUCUGACGUUGAGGCACGAAAGCGUGGGGAGCAAACAGGAUUAGAUACCCGAGUAGUC
rnacentral:rRNA from 1 species